rnacentral:rRNA from 1 species
AUUGAACGCUGGCGGCAGGCCUAACACAUGCAAGUCGAGCGGUAGCACAGAGAGCUUGCUCUCGGGUGACGAGCGGCGGACGGGUGAGUAAUGUCUGGGAAACUGCCUGAUGGAGGGGGAUAACUACUGGAAACGGUAGCUAAUACCGCAUAACGUCGCAAGACCAAAGUGGGGGACCUUCGGGCCUCAUGCCAUCAGAUGUGCCCAGAUGGGAUUAGCUAGUAGGUGGGGUAACGGCUCACCUAGGCGACGAUCCCUAGCUGGUCUGAGAGGAUGACCAGCCACACUGGAACUGGGACACGGUCCAGACUCCUACGGGAGGCAGCAGUGGGGAAUAUUGCACAAUGGGCGCAAGCCUGAUGCAGCCAUGCCGCGUGUGUGAAGAAGGCCUUCGGGUUGUAAAGCACUUUCAGCGGGGAGGAAGGCGAUAAGGUUAAUAACCUUGUCGAUUGACGUUACCCGCAGAAGAAGCACCGGCUAACUCCGUGCCAGCCGCCGCGGUAACAC